rnacentral:lncRNA from 1 species
AAUCAUCGGUUCUUAUAAGUAUAAAGUUUGAGUUCACAAUCUAAUGAUGGAAUUGGACAAACCAUCAGGAAUGAUUGUAGUACAAGAUUAAAUAUAAUCUAUCUUGAUUAUAAGAAUAGUUUAAUUCCAGCUUAUUGUGCUAGUACAUUUUGUAUGUAUUGAACGGGCCAGGUAGAGAUAAUUAUUUUAUACUGACUUAAUAAAAUAAACUCUUUAGCCAUUAAAUGUACUUAUACUUUAAUCUUGAUAUAAUUAUUAUUAGCUGUGUAUAGUAUUAUUGUUUUGAUUUAUUAAAAGACGNNNN